rnacentral:lncRNA from 1 species
CGAUUGAUACCCUAAACAGAGGAGUCUGUGGUGUUUGUGGCAAAACCAAAGCUUCUUAGAAAGAGAAGAGGAUGACGGAGAUGACCGUGUUCGAGCUUCUCAGAGAGGGGAUGGGAUGAACGAGAAAGAAUGACUCUUCACUUCACAUAGCAAAGGAGAGAAGAGGACAAGCCAAGAGAGGAGCCUCGUAGAGAGAGGGAAGCCUUACAGAGAGAGGGAGGUCACAGAGGAGAGGAAAUGGGAAAGAAGGGUAAAAGGAGAUUUUU